GAUGAACGCUGGCGGCAUGCCUAACACAUGCAAGUCGAUCGGUAAGGCUCUUCGGAGUACACGAGAGGCGGACGGCUGAGUAACGCGUAGUAACACACCCUGCAGUGAGGGAUAAGACACCGAAAGGUGUUCUAAUACCGCAUACGGUCUUCGGAUUAAAGCAUUUAUGCGCUGAAGGAGUGGCCUGCGUCAUAUUAGAUAGUUGGUGAGGUAAUGGCUCACCAAGUCGAUGAUGUGUAGCUGGUCUGAGAGGAUGAUCAGCCAGACUGGAACUGAGACACGGUCCAGACUCCUACGGGAGGCAGCAGUGAGGAAUAUUUCACAAUGAGCGAAAGCUUGAUGGAGCAAUGCCGCGUGCAGGAUGAAGGCCCUCGGGUUGUAAACUGCUUUUAUAAGAGAAGAUUAUGACGGUAACUUAUGAAUAAGGGACGGCUAACUACGUG
rnacentral:rRNA from 1 species